rnacentral:rRNA from 1 species
UACGUAGGGUGCAAGCGUUAAUCGGAAUUACUGGGCGUAAAGCGUGCGCAGGCGGUUAUGCAAGACAGAUGUGAAAUCCCCGGGCUCAACCUGAGAACUGCAUUUGUGACUGCAUGGCUAGAGUACGGUAGAGGGGGAUGGAAUUCCGCGUGUAGCAGUGAAAUGCGUAGAUAUGCGGAGGAACACCGAUGGCGAAGGCAAUCCCCUGGACCUGUACUGACGCUCAUGCACGAAAGCGUGGGGAGCAAACAGG